UUGAACGCUGGCGGCAGGCCUAACACAUGCAAGUCGAACGGUAACAGGAAGCAGCUUGCUGCUUUGCUGACGAGUGGCGGACGGGUGAGUAAUGUCUGGGAAACUGCCUGAUGGAGGGGGAUAACUACUGGAAACGGUAGCUAAUACCGCAUAACGUCGCAAGACCAAAGAGGGGGACCUUCGGGCCUCUUGCCAUCGGAUGUGCCCAGAUGGGAUUAGCUAGUAGGUGGGGUAACGGCUCACCUAGGCGACGAUCCCUAGCUGGUCUGAGAGGAUGACCAGCCACACUGGAACUGAGACACGGUCCAGACUCCUACGGGAGGCAGCAGUGGGGAAUAUUGCACAAUGGGCGCAAGCCUGAUGCAGCCAUGCCGCGUGUAUGAAGAAGGCCUUCGGGUUGUAAAGUACUUUCAGCGGGGAGGAAGGGAGUAAAGUUAAUACCUUUGCUCAUUGACGUUACCCGCAGAAGAAGCACCGGCUAACUCCGUGCCAGCAGCCGCGGUAAUACGGAGGGUGCAAGCGUUAAUCGGAAUUACUGGGCGUAAAGCGCACGCAGGCGGUUUGUUAAGUCAGAUGUGAAAUCCCCGGGCUCAACCUGGGAACUGCAUCUGAUACUGGCAAGCUUGAGUCUCGUAGAGGGGGGUAGAAUUCCAGGUGUAGCGGUGAAAUGCGUAGAGAUCUGGAGGAAUACCGGUGGCGAAGGCGGCCCCCUGGACGAAGACUGACGCUCAGGUGCGAAAGCGUGGGGAGCAAACAGGAUUAGAUACCCUGGUAGUCCACGCCGUAAACGAUGUCGACUUGGAGGUUGUGCCCUUGAGGCGUGGCUUCCGGAGCUAACGCGUUAAGUCGACCGCCUGGGGAGUACGGCCGCAAGGUUAAAACUCAAAUGAAUUGACGGGGGCCCGCACAAGCGGUGGAGCAUGUGGUUUAAUUCGAUGCAACGCGAAGAACCUUACCUGGUCUUGACAUCCACGGAAGUUUUCAGAGAUGAGAAUGUGCCUUCGGGAGCCGUGAGACAGGUGCUGCAUGGCUGUCGUCAGCUCGUGUUGUGAAAUGUUGGGUUAAGUCCCGCAACGAGCGCAACCCUUAUUGUUAGUUGCCAUCAUUAAGUUGGGCACUCUAGCGAGACUGCCGGUAAUAAACCGGAGGAAGGUGGGGAUGACGUCAAAUCAUCAUGCCCCUUAUGACCUGGGCUACACACGUGCUACAAUGGCGCAUACAAAGAGAAGCGACCUCGCGAGAGCAAGCGGACCUCAUAAAGUGCGUCGUAGUCCGGAUUGGAGUCUGCAACUCGACUCCAUGAAGUCGGAAUCGCUAGUAAUCGUGGAUCAGAAUGCCACGGUGAAUACGUUCCCGGGCCUUGUACACACCGCCCGUCACACCAUGGGAGUGGGUUGCAAAAGAAGUAGGUAGCUUAACCUUCGGGAGGGCGCUUACCACUUUGUGAUUCAUGACUGGGGUG
rnacentral:rRNA from 1 species